UAUCCAUCCGGGUGUCAUUCGGCUAAAAGGAAAAUGAAGAUGCUAAAAGGCUUAAACCACAAAAUUGCGUUCUAGCAGGUGUUUUACAAUGGCUGAGCUGAAAUGGUACUUGAGGACAGUUGCCUCUGCUUGUUACCCACUUCUUCCUAUGAUAAGCUGAGCCCAACUUCUACAGUAUGAACCUCCUGAUGUUGGGCAAGACCUAUCUUAAGCUACAGGAUGGUGAAAUGGCGUACUAGUAUUUGAGCCGCUGCAGGGACUACCCCAUGAACACACCGGAUGCCAGAAGGGCUAAUGCCGAAGCCAAGCAGUUAUUAGCCAUGCUGACCUCAGGUGCUGGACGAAAAAACAAGAGAUUGAUAUACUAGUGGACAAAUAGUUUUAAUGUUGCAUUAGGGACUAAAACUCCUGAUUGUAUUUAUUAUGUUUGUGUUCAUGUUUUUUUCUGUGAUUUGCUAACAAUCAUGAAACUCUUUCAAUAUGAACUGGCAGUUUUGGCAUCCAUUGCAACACAUGUUACUAAAACGAAACUAAGAAUUUUCUUUAAAGUUCUAAAAACCUUCAAACAUGUUGCACAAUGGACGUUGACAUUUUAAUUUCAGUCAAUUUCAAUCAUAGAAAAAGGAUACAUUUUUGUUUUUUACGUUUCAUAUCAUUGUUACUGUUUUAUGUUAUUGCAAUCACUUUUGCAAAAGUUACAAGAAAAUGAACACAAUCAUGAAUACUGACAUUGAAUAAGUAUACAAAUAUCUUGAUUCUAGAUGUAUUGAAUUAUUUGUGAUGAUGUGUUUUUUGUUAAUGUAAAAGAUUUAAAAUUUAAAACAGAAUGCGUUUGUUUAGUAUCUACUGAAAUGAUAAAGCAAUAGUUUGGUGAAACAAUCUUGGAGUGUGAUGAAGUUCAGACGAAAUUGUUUUUUCGGUGCUGUUCUGCAGAUAAUUAUUGAUAAUAUAGAUAUUAAAUUGAUAAAUUUAAAAUCAUAAUAAUUAUGCAUUUGAUUUAUUUCAAAUAAUUGAAUAUAUAUAUCACUGAAAAUUUAUCUUGGACCAGAAUGGGCUCUCUAAUGCAGGUCUCACCAUUAUAGUGUUGCAACAUGUAAAUGGUUAAUGUGCCUGUCUUGUAACGGACUGAAGGCUUCCCUUUUCUUUGUAAGGACAAGAAAAAACAAACUUUAAGGCACUUUUUUAAAAAAGUAGUGGCAUUGUAUUUUAUUUAAUGUCACUCAUUUAUUUUCAUGUCUUUCCAAAAAGGUUACGUAGUCAAUAUUUAAUUUAGCAGCUUAAUUAAAACGUGUAAAAAAACCUUAAAUGCGUUAAAUAUAUACUGAAGAUAUGUCUGUUUAAAGAAUAUUUUUUUCAUCGACUGCAGAAAAAUCUUAAUAGUUUUUAUCAUAAUAUUAUUUAAAAAUGUACUUUCAGUACAAUUCUUGAGGCUCAAAUUCAGUUUCCAGUAUAAAUGAUAUUCUAGGAAUAAAAUCAUAAAGAUGUUGAAAACUUUGUACCUAGAAUUUUUUUCAACUGUGAUAGAACACUUGAUGAAAGUGCCUCUGAGUGUAGGAUGUUGACAAAGUUUGUGAUUGUAAGGCUAUGAAUAUUCAUCUAUUAAAUGUGUCUAAUU